AAGGCAAGAUACAACCAUUGAUUAGUUAUUUCUGAGUUCUGACAAAAUAUAUGUGUAACAACCUAGUUAACAAUAUAGGAUAUUUCUAUCACCUCCCAAAGUUCUGUUAUGCCCUUUGUUGUAAGUUCUUUUGUCCUAUUCUUUACUCCUCAUCCUGGGUCCCUGUUUAAAUUUUGUCUUUUCUAGAAUGCCAGAGACUGGAGACUAUAGUAUGGUACAUUCUUCUCUAGAAUGCCAGAGACUGGAGACUAUAGUAUGGAUGGCUGUAACAGUUCCAACCUGUAUAUUGUCAGAGGAAAAGAUAGCCUCACUUGUACUGCCUCCCAGGAUUCUACACAAUAAUUUCAUCACAUUUCAAUGACUCCAAGGAUCAGGCUGGCCUCCAGUUUGUUAUGUAGCCAAGAAGGACCUAAAGUCCUGAUUCUCCAGCUGCCACCUUUCAAAUGCUGAUUAUAGGAGUGCAUCAUCACAGCCAGCUUAAAUAUGCUUCCAGAUUAUGGACUUCUACAUGGUUUCCGGUGACAGGACAGACCAUGAACAUCCACAUGGCUGCUGGCACCAGCAUGUACUGUGGACCUCAGCAUGGUCUCCAGUGGCAGUACAGACUACGGACAUCAACACGGCCCUCUGCUGCAGCACUGACUGUGGACAUCAACACGGCUUCAAGCACAGACCACAGACAUCAACAGGGCCUCUGUGCAGGACAGAUCACCUCAAGCCCCACCAUGGCCUCUGGA